rnacentral:lncRNA from 1 species
AUUCUAUGCCGUAUUAUAAAGAAAAAUCAACUCUUAAACUUGAUGGAUAAAUUCAUGAGUUAAAUUUUUUCAUCAAAAUUGAGGUUGUAGUUCUCACAAUUUCUUACCAAUAUCAGCUUUCCACUGCUAAACAAGACGAAGUUCUCCAGCUCCUUUUCCCUUGCUAUUCCCGGAUUCAAUUCAAAAAUUGCUGUUGGAGCUUUUCUUGGCCAUUCGUGUCUUGGUUUUUUUCAUGUUUGUGGCUUUAAGUGGAGGAUUUUACAUGGGUUCCUUCCAGUUGCCAUGGUGAUUGUUGGUGAAAAUAUGAGAGUUCAAAACUGCCCAUGUUUCAUGAAUUGUGUGAGCCAAAAUCGUGCAUUCCAAGUGUUUGAAAAAAUAGAAAACCGAAUUAAAGAAGUAAAUUUUUUUUGUUAAAAUAGAUUAUUAUAGCUAAAUCAUGGCCUGAAAAUAUUUGUUGAUUAAAAUUUUGAAAUUUUUUGAGCCUCUACGAAAUAACUUUUAAAGUUAAAGGUUGUUCUGCUUUAAUCUAUCACGUUGUUUGUUGUUUUUGUUAAUUUAAAAUUAUAGUUGCAUUGUAGAAACCAUAAGAACGUUUUGGGGUAGGUUUUGUGAAUUUUGAUCAAGAAUUGGAUGACUUUUUAAAAAGGGAGUACUCGGCUAAAAAUUUGAUUUUUGACCUCUUUUUGUGCAUUUUUGGUUUUAAACUAAGUUUAGAAAUAGAUUCUACAUGAAAAAUUGAGUGGGAAGGUAAAUUUUGAAGAUCGAAAAAGCUCGUCAACGACUAACGACCGACGGCAGUCUAGCGACGGCGCCACAUCGGCGUCUACCAUGGCCACAAGCUGCCAAAGCUUGGCCUGGCUAGAGAGGAAGAAGAAAAGAGAGGCAAAGAAGAAGAAGGAAAAAAAGAAACAGAAGGAAAAAAAGGGGGGGGGAUGGGCUAGUUCUUUAUUUUUUCCCUAGAAGCCCAACGUGUUUAUUAUAUUUAGAUUUGUGUAGUUUUAAUUGGGUUAGUUGUUAUUUUAAUGAAAAUGGUUUGCAUAUUUUAUUUCGAGCCAAAGUAUCUAUUACCCAAAUACUAAGAAUGACCCAAAAUUGUUUCUUUAGGUCUUCUUAUAAAAAGAAAAUAAUUUUUGCUAUGUGACCCCUAACUUUUGAGUAAUUUUAGUAUGAUGUAAAAAUUUUAGAUUUCUUUCAUUUAGGUCCUUUUUAUUGCAUUUUGAUCCUUAAACUUUUCUUAAUUUAAUUUUGACCUGUAAUUUUUUCAAAAAUUAUGUUUUGACCUCAAUGCUUUUUAUUUUUACAAUUUAGUCUCUAUUAGUUUUUUGAUUUCUCAAUUAUAAUUGUUUCCUUUGUCUAAUUAUUAAUUAUGGUUCACUUAAAUGCAUUUCCUUUAUAAAUUUUAGGUAUUUUAAAUUUAUUUACAUUUUUUGACAUAAUAAAGUGACUUUAGUAUUGAUGUGACUCCCGUUGAUGAUGAGAAUCUCGACGACGAACCCCCG